UACGUAGGGGGCUAGCGUUGUCCGGAAUCAUUGGGCGUAAAGCGCGUGUAGGCGGUCCGGUAAGUCCGCUGUGAAAGUCGAGGGCUCAACCCUCGAAUGCCGGUGGAUACUGUCGGGCUAGAGUCCGGAAGAGGAGAAUGGAAUUCCCGGUGUAGCGGUGAAAUGCGCAGAUAUCAGGAAGAACACCCGUGGCGAAAGCGGCUCUCGUGGGACGGUACUGACGGCUGAGGCACGAAGGCCAGGGGAGCAAACGGG
rnacentral:rRNA from 1 species